rnacentral:rRNA from 1 species
UGUAAGCGUAUACCAAAGUUGUUGCAGUUAAAACGCUCGUAGUCGGAAUUUGGCAGUUCCGGAUGUGUGCACGUCGUGUGCGCACUUCGCGGGGAUUGCUUUUGUGGUCUUGCGUAGGAUGAGGCACUUUUAUUAGUGAACGUCCUCACGCAACCACUUUUUACUGUGAGAAAAUCAGAGUGCUCAAAGCAGGCAUUUGCCGUGAAUGUAUUAGCAUGGAAUAAAAGAAUAGGACUUGGUUCUAUUUUGUUGGUUUGUUGGGACUGAGUAAUGAUUAAGAGGGACAGUUGGGGGCAUUUGUAUUUCGGUGCUAGAGGUGAAAUUCUUAGAUUACCGAAAGACAAACUGCUGCGAAAGCGUCUGCCAAGGAUGUUUUCAUUGA